rnacentral:lncRNA from 1 species
GACUUUCUAACCCCAAGUGAUAGAUAGGUCUUCUAGGUUUAAACAAAGAAUAGAACAGAACUUUCUAGUUGACAGGCUGACCAUAGAAGUAUCAGUGAGAACACGUUUAAGACUGUGCUGAUUACCAGGGUGGACCGUUAACACACACGAGGGGUGUGUGUGAUCUGUAUGUGGAAGGGCACUCGUGGCCUGAUGGAGGGCAGAGACUCUCUGUCCAGGUUAAUCUCACCUUGCUGGCCUGUCUUCAAGUGGGCUUGCUGGCUGAGGGACAGCAUGCUGAGCACGGUGGGGGUGCGACAAGGUGUAGCCCUUGGUUUCCCAGCCUUCCCAGCCUUCUGCACCGGCAGGGUAAAUAUCUUCCUUCACUAGCGGAUGGACUAGCCUGGGUGACGUGGUACCCACACUUCCCCCUGGAGUGCCUCUGUCUAUAUUUUGACAGGGUCCAAGUAUUUAAGGCAAAAAAA